rnacentral:rRNA from 1 species
GUCGGACGGUGAUGAGGGGCUUGCCCUUCUGAUCAGUGGCGAACGGGUGAGUAACACGUGAGUAACCUGCCCUUCACUCUGGGAUAACUCCGGGAAACCGGGGCUAAUACUGGAUAUGACCUGCUCGGGCAUCCGAUGUGGGUGGAAAGAUUUAUUGGUGGGGGAUGGACUCGCGGCCUAUCAGCUUGUUGGUGAGGUAAUGGCUUACCAAGGCGACGACGGGUAGCCGGCCUGAGAGGGCGAUCGGCCACACUGGGACUGAGACACGGCCCAGACUCCUACGGGAGGCAGCAGUGGGGAAUAUUGCACAAUGGGCGAAAGCCUGAUGCAGCGACGCCGCGUGAGGGAUGAAGGCCUUCGGGUUGUAAACCUCUUUCAGCAGGGAAGAAGUGGCCGGGUUUUCUCGGUUGUGACGGUACCUGCAGAAGAAGCACCGGCUAACUACGUGCCAGCAGCCGCGGUAAUACGUAGGGUGCGAGCGUUGUCCGGAAUUAUUGGGCGUAAAGAGCUUGUAGGCGGUUUGUCGCGUCUGCUGUGAAAUUUCGGGGCUCAACCCCGAACUUGCAGUGGGUACGGGCAGACUAGAGUGUGGUAGGGGAGACUGGAAUUCCUGGUGUAGCGGUGAAAUGCGCAGAUAUCAGGAGGAACACCGAUGGCGAAGGCAGGUCUCUGGGCCACUACUGACGCUGAGAAGCGAAAGCAUGGGGAGCGAACAGGAUUAGAUACCCUGGUAGUCCAUGCCGUAAACGUUGGGAACUAGGUGUGGGUCUCAUUCCACGAGAUCCGUGCCGCAGCUAACGCAUUAAGUUCCCCGCCUGGGGAGUACGGCCGCAAGGCUAA